UACGGGGGGGGCAAGCGUUGUCCGGAAUUAUUGGGCGUAAAGAGCUCGUAGGCGGUCUGUCGCGUCUGCUGUGAAAACCCGGGGCUCAACUCCGGGCCUGCAUUCGAUACGGGCAGACUAGAGUUCGGUAGGGGAGACUGGAAUUCCUGGUGUAGCGGUGAAAUGCGCAGAUAUCAGGAGGAACACCGGUGGCGAAGGCGGGUCUCUGGGCCGAUACUGACGCUGAGGAGCGAAAGCGUGGGGAGCGAACAGG
rnacentral:rRNA from 1 species